UACGAAGGGGGCUAGCGUUGCUCGGAAUCACUGGGCGUAAAGGGUGCGUAGGCGGGUCUUUAAGUCAGGGGUGAAAUCCUGGAGCUCAACUCCAGAACUGCCUUUGAUACUGAGGAUCUUGAGCUCGGGAGAGGUGAGUGGAACUGCGAGUGUAGAGGUGAAAUUCGUAGAUAUUGGGAAGAACACCGGUGGCGAAGGCGGCUCUCUGGACCGAUACUGACGCUGAGGCGCGAAAGCGUGGGGAGCAAACAGG
rnacentral:rRNA from 1 species